rnacentral:lncRNA from 10 species
ACAGGGCCAUCUGCAUCGGAGUCGCCCCUUUCCGCAGCGCUUCUCCCCAAGAAUCGACUGCUUCGGAAGUGACUCGAGCGGAGGGGUGCCUAAACGACUGAGGUUUCCCAUCCGGAAACCACACAGCUCUGUCGCAUCCCUUGACCCUAUCCCCUCUUCUUUAACCGACUGGGAGGUUAGGGGUUUCUGGGAGGUGUCCCCUACACCCACCCUCAUCCUGAGGUGAGGCGCACAGAAAGCCUUCCCGAGGGCGAGGUCGUGUUUUUCCAGUUACAGUGAGGACCUGCAGAGCGAGCCCUUGUCCCCUUCCUCAGGGUCCCCAAGGAGAAAGGUGGGAGAUGCUACGUCAGAAAGCAUCUCUCCAGCUGCCCCUCUGCAGCUCCUGGGGAGGCUCCGGGCGGAAAGAUGUUCAGCAAGUGCCUCUCCCAGAAGAGAGGGGAGAUCAGUAAAGAAAGUGACCCCGAGCUGCGGAGAGUGGGGAGAAGCGGCGGUACAGAGGGGAAAAGAGGCCAGACUUGGAGAAGCAGGAGGCGCUGGGAAUUGCUGGGGCUCAUCGUUAGGGCACUAAAGCAUGGCACAGGCCAGGACCACAAGCUGCUGGAAAGGGGGCUGCAGACUUUUGUGUUUAGAGCAUUAUAUUUUAAAAUAUUUCGAAAGGAGCAUUUUUAAACCAGGAGAUUUCACCUGUAAAGAAAUUGGAUUUCUGGCUUCUUCUGAAAAUGGGAAGAGCUGGGAUGCCCACAGUGGCAGAGGUGAGUUGCCCUUGCCAUUUGUAUAAGAAGUGUGCUCUCCUGUUCACUACAGUCCCUGCCAUUCUCCACUGAAUUACG